rnacentral:rRNA from 1 species
AGAAUGAACGCUAGCGAUAUGCUUAACACAUGCAAGUUGAACGUUGUUUUCGAAUCAGAAUGAGAACAAAGUAGCGAACGGGUGCGUAACACGUGGGAAUCUGCCGAACAGUUUGGGCCAAAUCCCGAAUGAAUAAAAGCUAAAAAGCGCUGUUUGAUGAGCCCACGUAGUAUUAGGUAGUUGGUUAGGUAAAAGCUGACCAAGCCUACGAUGCUUAGCUGGUCUUUUCGGAUGAUCAGCCACACUGGGACUGAGACACGGCCCAGACUCCUACGGGAGGCAGCAGUGGGGAAUCUUGGACAAUGGGCGAAAGCCUGAUCCGGCAAUAUGGCGUGAGUGAAGAAGGGCAACGCAGCUUGUAAAGCUCUUUCAUCGAGUGUGCGAUUGUGACAAGACUCGAAAUAAGAAGCCCCGGCUAACUCCGCGCCAGGCAGCCGAC